rnacentral:rRNA from 1 species
CGAAGGGUGCAAGCGUUAAUCGGAAUUACUGGGCGUAAAGCGCGCGUAGGUGGUUUGUUAAGUUGGAAGUGAAAGCCCCGGGCUCAACCUGGGAACUGCUUUCAAAAACUGGCAAGCUAGAGUAUGGCAGAGGGUGGUGGAAUUUCCUGUGUAGCGGUGAAAUGCGUAGAUAUAGGAAGGAACACCAGUGGCGAAGGCGACCACCUGGGCUAAUACUGACACUGAGGUGCGAAAGCGUGGGGAGCAAACAGGAUU